AGGAACCGUUGAUUGAAUAUAAUCCAAGGGACAUAAACCUUUUCCUUUGUUUUCUCUUUUCUCUCGCGAUCUCUGCUCUUCCCCUCUUCUAUUUUCUCAAGUCACAAAAUAUUUCAGAUCUCUCCUCUUCGUCAUCAUUCCGUUUGUUCUUCACUCCCCUCCUCUCUUCUUCGUUGCUGGAGAAGCAAACCAGACCACAAAAAACCAGAACAAAACCAACCUCUUUCUUCUCCGCGAAGCUCGAGCUUGCCCCUGUUAUCACAACACCAACACCAUCGCUUGUCACCACCAACGCCGCCCGACAACCACCACGACCACAACGGGUUGGAAGAGUCAUGGCGUGCAUCCAUGGAGAUUGAAGACAUAUGUAAUGGUCAUCUCUUUCUUGAGCAGAGUGGUCGUGACUCGUGAGCAGAGGAGAUGUCUCGCCCCUUCGGUGUAGAGCUUGCCUCUGUUAUCACCGGUAUCGAACUCGUCCUGCUCGCCAUCAAUGGUGCCGGAGAUGGAGACAGAAUGGAUUGGAGGAGGGAGGCAGCAACAGAGAUAUUAGAUUUAGAGUUAAUUAGGUCUAGAUUUUGGUUAAUUAGUUAUUGGUUUAGUGUGUUCUGGUUUACUUAUUUCUUUUAAUCUGGUUUAGUUUUGUAAAAUUAGUUUUAUUUGUAAAUUGAUUUUGAUUAAUAAAAUAAUUAAAUUUUAAUUUUAAA